UCAAGAAGAAUGUGUAUUCUGCUGCUUUUGGAUGAAAAGUUCUGAAUAUAUCUGUUAAGUCCAUCUGGUUCAAUGUGUUAUUCAGAGCUGUUGUUUCCUUAUUGGUUUUCUGCCUAGAUGAUCUGUCCAUUGUUGUAUAUGGUGGUAAAGUGUCCCAGGUGGAUUGACAGCUUAUACAAAGAUAUAGUAGGAGAAAACAAGAAAAUUAUGAGAACUACAGGGAAGCCAGCAAGACUGGAAUUCAGGAAAUGAGUCUAUACUAAUUCCACAAGGUCAACUGUCAAGAUAGCUCUGAUGCCCAGGAUACAAAGUCUCAUGUGAAUCAGCACCAAGUAAAGCACUGAGCUAGGAAAGUCACUUUCUGAAGGUGUCCGGGGCCCUAACUUUGCAAGUCACUUCAAGGAGAAGGAGGUGGUGGGCCUUCCUUCCAGAGAAACAACUUCCAAGAGCAUGGUGGCUCUUCUGGCAACAUUUCUAGUUCAUGACAGCAGUAAACUGAUGGGCUUACUUAGGUCAAAUGACAGGCCUAGUCCAGGCAGCCAUGGUCCAGAAGACUCUUUCCUAACUUUGAGAUGUCUGUCAGAGUGGGGGCAAGGAGAGCACAUAUCUGUGCAGGCAGCAGCCCCUUAGUAAAGGGGAACCUGUGAUGUGAAGCCACCACAAGAGGUGCCUCCUACAAAUACUCACUGAUCCUUCAAGCCCAUUGUCACUGUUGAGAUCUUGUGAGGAUGUCAGAGAGCUGAAUAAACAAGGUAAUUCGACCUCA